ACGAACGCUGGCGGCAUGCCUAACACCUGCAAGUCGAACGAGACCUUCGGGUCUAGUGGCGCACGGGUGUGUAACGCGUGGGAACCUGCCCUUAGGUUCGGAAUAACUCCCCGAAAGGGGUGCUAAUACCGGAUAAUGUCUUCGGACCAAAGAUUUAUCGCCUUUGGAUGGGCCCGCGUUGGAUUAGCUAGUUGGUAGGGUAAAAGCCUACCAAGGCGACGAUCCAUAGCUGGUCUGAGAGGAUGAUCAGCCACACUGGGACUGAGACACGGCCCAGACUCCUACGGGAGGCAGCAGUGGGGAAUAUUGGACAAUGGGCGAAAGCCUGAUCCAGCAAUGCCGCGUGAGUGAUGAAGGCCUUAGGGUUGUAAAGCUCUUUUACCCGGGAUGAUAAUGACAGUACCGGGAGAAUAAGCUCCGGCUAACUCCGUG
rnacentral:rRNA from 1 species